CUCAGUGCUGAUGCUAUACAGUUGUAUUUGUGGUUCAAUGUUCUUGGAAACCCUUCAUUGAAAAUCAUAAUAACAUCUGGCCUUUAUAUAGUUAUAUGUUAGAUAAUGUAUGUUCUAUAUAUUAUAGGGAGGAGACAUCAGAAGAGCUUGAGGAUUAUAAAAAGAAGAAUAAAAGUCUUAGAAAGAGGGCAGUGUCAAUACUUAGAUGUAUUUUUUGCUGCAUCUGCUGCAACAAAGAAAACUGAGCAGUCCAUUUCAUUAUGCUGAGGACAACUCACCGUGAAUUGGGAAUGGUCAUCUGGACUCACCUCAGCAGAAAUUCGGAUAGCUCUAGAAAAAUCAAGAAAAAAAGUAAAGGGGGAAAAAAAAAAUCUAAAAAAAAAUAAAAAAAACAUAAAAAAAAUAAAAAAAAAUAAAAAAAAUAAAACACACAAAAAAAUAAAAAUAAAAACAAAACAAUGAAAAAAAAAUAAAAAAUAAAACAAAAUAAAAACAUAUUUAAC